rnacentral:lncRNA from 1 species
AGAGGGAAAUGGGGACGGCCGACGAAACGGCGGGUGGAGCUUGUUUUAUUAUUGCUGUGAUGGCGGGAAAGUGUGUAUUUCGGAUCUUGCAGCGGGAAGAGAUUCUGGGUUUUGCUAACGCGGCGCAUCGACCACGAAACCGUUAUUUCUAACGGGAAGGACGGCCGUUAUGUCUGAAAAGGAUAUUUUUGGGAAUAAAAUUGUUGAGGGAAAAACGGAUUGCUCCGAAGUACAUGAACGCAUCGCCGGUAUAUGACCAAGGUGCCCGACCUAGAAGCCCCCGACCUGAGGGCGCCCGACCUGGAAGCGCCCGACCUGAAGGUGCCCGACCUCGGUAUCCCCGACUUUAAAACGCCGAGCCGACCUUUAAGGGCCGAUUUGGUCGUUUACACGUUAAGGCCACACCCUGCGACGACCUCACCAUGUCACGUUCCACCCGCCGACCAUGCUACGACAUAUCAGAGACCAUGCCCGGAGCGACUGUCAACAAUUAAUGCGCAUGGUCUCUACUAAUCUCCGGCUCACUCAACAAUCAAUGUGCAUGCAUGCUAUCUACAGAUCUCAAGCCCUUCACGACAAACAGCUGACUCGCUCGGCUAUGUCCGAUCAGCCACGACGACUCAUUGGCUCCGGCCUAAUCUCCUACGGCGAUGCAUUAAUUCACACGAUCGUGCAUUAAUUCAUACGACAUGCUCAAACAUGACGGUAACUCGUUCGCCCCGUCACAUCACAGGUAAUCCUGUACCCCUCUAUAAAAGGGGAAUCCCUCCAUCUUAGAGAGAGUUGGACUCUGAAACUCCUGAGACAUAUUUUCUCUCCCUCCAUAUAUUUGCCCCCUCUGACUUAGGCAUCGGAGGGCCGGCGCCGGAAAUCC